ACUCGAGUGGCGAACGGGUGAGUAACACGUGGGUGAUCUGCCCUGCACUUCGGGAUAAGCCUGGGAAACUGGGUCUAAUACCGGAUAGGACCACAUUUUGGAUGGUGUGGUGGAAAGUUUUUCGGUGUGGGAUGAGCUCGCGGCCUAUCAGCUUGUUGAUGGGGUAAUGGCCUACCAAGGCGUCGACGGGUAGCCGGCCUGAGAGGGUGUACGGCCACAUUGGGACUGAGAUACGGCCCAG
rnacentral:rRNA from 1 species